AGCAUUUAGGCUCCCUGGGCGAAGUUUUUUGUGCUUCGUUCUCCUUGAUUUUCGGUGGAAUGCGUUGUGAUUGGGGUGGGUUUUUUUUUUUUCCAGUGGUUGGACGCUCUCUCGCCCUCUGUCGAUAGUUUAGGGUAUUGAUUUUGCACAUAUAUAUUGUUGUUGAAAAUAGCCGUGAUGAUCAAUUUUUUGGGGUUCAAAUCAAUAUUUGAAGAACGCUCCCUCUAAUGAAUAGGUCUAAAAGUGCUUGAUUUCUAUGUACGGCAAAAUCGUAGUACUUUAGAACCUGUUACUAUUAUAUACACAGAUUAUUUGUUUUUCUACUUAUUUGAGCAGAUAUCUACCAGAAAUUGGGGUAUUAAACGUUUUAAGGAGUACACAAAGCAAUCAAUUUUUAGCUCUACAAAACCUUGGUCAGACAAGUUGAAUAGAAAAUAAACACAAGAACGCAAUCCAUAAUAAUCGAGACUAGCACAGUACCACCUCAAAUUUCAGAAAUGUGAGAAGUCAGCAUAAAUUACUUCAGGCCAGACAGAACCAAAGGCUUAUGCGAAUAGGAGUAGCGUUUAGGGUUUGGUGUUGCCUCCAAGUGUUGCUGCGGUUACUACUGCGAUUCACGCACUAUGGUUAUUGAGAAUCCGUUUGUUUUCUGCACUUUUGAAAGGCAUCCAACUGCUGGAAAAGGAAUGGGUGGCUUUUUUUAUGCUCUUAUUGCUACGGCUGAAAAAGUGGUUGUUGCUGUAUCGCACUGAGAAGAAGAUGAUACCACCGUUUACAAACCAGAUUACAAAUUCAUUCAUGAUUAUGGUGAGCGGUUAGGAUUGGUGGGUAUUUGCACAGCACUCCAGGUAUUUGCUUAGUAUCUGCGUAUAUUAAUGUU